rnacentral:rRNA from 1 species
UACGGGGGGGGCAAGCGUUGUUCGGAAUUAUUGGGCGUAAAGGGCUCGUAGGCGGUUUGUCGCGUCGGGAGGGAAAACCCAGGGCUUAACCCUGGGCUGGCUUUCGAUACGGGCAGACUAGAGGUAUGCAGGGGAGAACGGAAUUCCUGGUGUAGCGGUGAAAUGCGCAGAUAUCAGGAGGAACACCUGCGGUGUAGACAGCUUACUGGACCAUAACUGACGCUGAGGCACGAAAGCGUGGGUAGCAAACAGG